AACCUUCUCACAUCUUUAUUUGAAAGGCACAGCUAAGCCCACCCUCGACACAGCAUUGUCACUUCUCCGCAGCGAUCAGACGACUGAGCACAACAAAAGCUGACAGUCUAAAAGGCUAUAUACAGACACAGGUGUGGGUGUUGCUUGUUUUUUUUUUUUUAAACAUUUUUCUGUCUUUUUUUUUUCCCCCGUAAUAUCCCUUUUCUUAAAAGACAAGCUAGUAUACUGGAAAAAGGAAAAAAAUAAAAACCAAGACAACUUGAGUACCCUCAUCUUUAUUCGGGAAGGGGAGAAAGGGAAUUCUGGGACGCCCGCCCCCCCCUCCCCCUGCUCCUGGCUAAGCUCACUCUCCCCGCCCCCUCUCCUGCGGGGCGAGGGGCGAGGACAGGUGGGCGUGGGCUCCGGAACGGGCAGAGGAGGUGAGGGAGGGGGGAGGACGGGAGGGGGGGGUGGUGCCCAGGGCAGGAAGGGGCAGCUAGCGUGUUGUCUGCAUGCAGUGCCGGGGUGAGAGGCUGGGGGGCGCGCCCUGAGGGGCCCUGCGGGCGGACGUCAGGUGUGCGCAUGUGCGGACGGGGAAGUGCAGGGGUGCGGGGCUUCUGGAGGCUUUGCUCUCCUCUGACCUGGCUUCCCGUUUGUGCCUCCAGGCCUCAGCUUGCCUCCGGUGUGGAAUGAGCGUGAGCAAGGUAUUCACCCACUCAGGCUGCAGGGGUGGGGGGUGGAGGAGGAGGAGGAGGAGGAGGAGGAAGGAGGCCGGGGGUGUGAGCGAAGCUAGGGGCGGCACACAGGCAGGGCUAGGGCCCCAGCAGGCGGCUACCAUAAAUACUACCGAGUUCAGCCAAUCCC
rnacentral:lncRNA from 1 species